CACAAGGGGAUUGGAUCAACUCAGUUCAAAAUUAGAUCAGCUUAGUAAUUGUGUGAGCAUGAUUCAAAUCUAAAAAAUCUUACAUAAUCUUAAAAUAAAAUUAAUCAUAAAUACCUUUUAGAUUAUAUCUAAAAUUUUUAUGAUUUGAGAUUUUAUUUUUUCAUAAUUCAAAUAAUUCUAAUCAUAUAGAUUAGAUGUCUUACAU
rnacentral:lncRNA from 1 species